UUAAAUAGAGGCUACAGUGUACUCAUUGUAUUUGUGCUAUAGUUUAGAUUGUAUUACUUGGUGGGGAGGGAAAUUACUGGAUAAUAGCAGGAACAUUGUGUGUGUUUUAUUUUUGUGUGUGUGGUUGUGUAUGUGGUAUGUAUGUUUGUGUGUUUGUAUGUAUGAGAGAGAUUGUGCCUUAUGUGGAGUCUGGUAGUUUUGGCCCAUGACCAUACCUUAAAGUUUCAUCACCUAUCCUCUG
rnacentral:lncRNA from 1 species